rnacentral:rRNA from 1 species
AACGAACGCUGGCGGCAGGCUUAACACAUGCAAGUCGAACGCCCCGCAAGGGGAGUGGCAGACGGGUGAGUAACGCGUGGGAACAUACCCUUUCCUGCGGAAUAGCUCUGGGAAACUGGAAUUAAUACCGCAUACGCCCUACGGGGGAAAGAUUUAUCGGGGAAGGAUUGGCCCGCGUUGGAUUAGCUAGUUGGUGGGGUAAAGGCCUACCAAGGCGAGGAUCCAUAGCUGGACUGAGAGGAUGAUCAGCUACAUUGGGAAUGAGACACUGCCCAAACUCCGACGGGUGGCAGCAGUGGGGAAUAUUGGACAAUGGGCGCAAGCCUGAUCCAGCCAUGCCGCGUGAGUGAUGAAGGCCUUAGGGUUGUAAAUCUCUUUCACCGAUGAAGGUAAUGACGGUAGUCGGAGAAGAAGACCCGGCUAACUUCGUGCCAGCCGCCGCCGUAAGAC